rnacentral:rRNA from 1 species
UAUUGCGCAAUGGGCGAAAGCCUGACGCAGCGACGCCGCGUGGGGGAUGAAGGUCUUCGGAUUGUAAACCCCUUUCGGGAGGGAAGAUGGAACGAGCAAUCGUUCGGACGGUACCUCCAGAAGCAGCCACGGCUAACUACGUGCCAGCAGCCGCGGUAAAACGUAGGUGGCAAGCGUUAUCCGGAUUUACUGGGCGUAAAGGGUGUGCUGGCGGAUGGACAAGUGGUGGAUGAAAGACCCUGGCUUAACUGGGGGAACGUAAACCAGACUGUUCAUCUCGAACAUGAGAGAGGGAUGUGGAAUUCCGGGUGUAGUGGUGAAAUGCGUAGAGAUCCGGAGGAACACCAGAGGCGAAAGCGGCAUCCUGGCUCAUAGUUGACGCUCAGACACGAGAGCAUGGGGAGCGAAC